UCUGACCAGGGAUCUCUAAUCUCGCUGGGGCCUCCAAAUGUUACGGGGUGCAAGUGAGAUCACACCAGACAUGUCUAAGGUUUAUUAAGGAGUCUUUAUUA
ensembl:miRNA